UGGCCUGUGGGAACCUGCACAAGUCGGGGGCAACAUGGUCCCAGGAAGUCUUUGACAGGCUGCCCCCUGCUGGCUGCUGCGGGAACCACAUGGCAGAUGGCUCCUGGUGUCCCCUGGAAGGUCUUGCUCUGUCACCCAGGCUGGAGUGUGUGGUGCGAUCAUGCCUCACAGCAGCCUUGACAUCCCCAGGCUCAGAUGAUCCUCCCACCUCAGCCUCCUGAGUAGCCGCGACUACAGGCGCAUGCCACCACACCCAGUAGAGACGGGGUUUCACCAUCCACAGGAUGGUCUCGAUCUCCUGACCUUGUGAUCCGCCCGCCUCAGCCUCCCAAAGUGCUGGGAUUACAGGCUGAGCCACCGCGCCCGGUCGCACCCCAACUUUAAAGAUGAGGGUCGGUGCAGGACAGAAUACAUUUCAGCUCCAAAACCAGCAUUGUCUUUAAUGGGGACUCCUAGAGGCAUUCCCACCAAGUUAGGAACAAGACAGCACGCCCACUGUUACCAGCGUAAAUCAACAAUGUACCGGAGGUGCUAACCCACACAAUAAGGCAACAUCUCCAGCAUGAAGCCCACUGGCCUCAUGUCUGUACUUCUGGAGUCCAGGUGAGCAAAGGUCACCUGCCCACUGGACUUGG
rnacentral:lncRNA from 1 species